AGGAGUUCAAGAACGGCUACAACCUCCGAAGGCACGAAGCCAUCCACACAGGAGCCAAGGCUGGCCGGGUCCCCUCGGGUGCUAUGAAGAUGCCCACGAUGGUGCCCCUGAGCCUCUUGAGCGUCCCCCAGCUGAGCGGGGCCAGCGGGGGUGGGGGAGAAGCCGGGGCUGGCGGCGGCACGGCCGCGGUGGCGGCUGGUGGUGUUGUGACCACGACUGCCUCUGGAAAGCGCAUCCGGAAGAAUCACGCCUGUGAGAUGUGCGGCAAGGCCUUCCGCGACGUCUACCACCUGAACCGACAUAAGCUGUCGCAUUCGGACGAGAAGCCCUACCAGUGCCCUGUGUGCCAGCAGCGCUUCAAGCGCAAGGACCGCAUGAGUUACCACGUGCGCUCACAUGACGGCGCUGUGCACAAGCCCUACAACUGCUCCCACUGUGGCAAGAGCUUCUCCCGGUGUGCAGGGGCCUCGGCUGCCCACUAGGCCGAUGGUGGGGGGAGGGCAACAAGGUGGCCUAUCUUUGGCUGGUGGGGAGGCGGCUCCCGUUCCUGGGGACAGGCACCACUCCCAGGGAGGAGGGAAGUGAGCCUCGUGGUUAUUAGGAACAGGGGGUGGUACUUUUGUAGAAGAGGUGGGUCUUUGGGCUGAAGGAAAGUAGCCUCUGGGCAGAAGAGGAAUCUUGGUUUGAGAGCUCUCCUGCCUGAGGACUGAAGCUGUGGGGAAACGCUGGGACUUUGGAAAGGAAUUUUGGAGGAACCUAAGUAGAUUUGAGGCACACCUCACCUUGUAGCCUUAGCCCUAACACACGCCCCCUCCCACCUCAACAUGUCCUUAGGCCGGAUCACCUCAACAGUCACGUCAGACAAGUGCACUCUACAGAGCGGCCCUUCAAAUGUGAGAAAUGUGAGGCAGCUUUUGCUACGAAGGAUCGACUCCGAGCGCACACAGUACGACACGAGGAGAAGGUGCCAUGUCAUGUGUGUGGCAAGAUGCUGAGCUCAGCUUAUAUUUCGGACCACAUGAAGGUGCACAGCCAGGGCCCUCACCAUGUCUGUGAGCUCUGCAACAAAGGUACUGGUGAGGUUUGUCCAAUGGCAGCGGCAGCAGCAGCAGCGGCAGCGGCAGCAGCAGCAGUGGUGGCAGCCCCUCCCACAGCUGUGGGCACCCUCUCUGGGGCAGAGGGGGUACCAGUGAGCUCUCAGCCACUUCCCUCCCAGCCUUGGUGAGCUCCAAGUUGAUGGAGGACAGGGGAGAGCAGAGGAAAGCUCUCUUGGUACAGUCUCCUCUUCCCACCAACUUCCUCACGUCAUCAACCAAGGAGCCUCCAGACGGAGAGGAGGAAGAAGGAAUUCACUAGGUUUUAACGAUGUUUCUCCUGCUCCUUUCUUCUCCCUAUCAGAGCUGACCCUACAAACACCUGUCCCCUGAGUUGUGUUGAAGUCCCCUGGACAGUGAGCAGGGGUGGCAGAGGACAGCAGCAGCCACUGCCCUCAACCUUUAAGCCCUUGCCUUUCCUCCCAGGGAUUUGUGAGCCUUUCCUUAGAAGGUCCUGUGCUCUCCUCCUGUCCCCUCCCCUACUGUCUGCUGCCCCUUCCUGGGGAGUUGGUGCUUUCUUUUUUUGUUGUUGUUUUUUUCCCAGGGGUAGGGAGGAGAGAGAGGAGGGGAAUUAAGAUUCUGUCCCAGAAAAGAGAGAAGGUGGUGUUGAGGGGCAGAAGCAGGGAAGGCAGAGGGAUACUUUGAGUAAGGUUGUGUGGUUAAACCCCAAGCAUCCUACUGGAGUAUCUGUCCAGGGAAAAGCCAAGGGGAGCAUCAGAAGGAGCCACUAGGGCCAGAGGCAGAACAAGAGAAUCUUAGGGGGCCAGGGUAAAGGAGGGGAGCCAGGGAAUAAGAGGUGCUUCCUGGGGGUGGGGGAAUGCAGCCAUAGUGUCUUCCCCUUCCCUCUUCCACCCCAGCUCCAGCCCUGGUCUUUUCUUCCUCUUUCCCACAACAGAAGAUAUGGCCCUGGCCAUGACAUCGUGUUCCUGUGUCCCUUGCAUGUUCCCCACUCUCCCCUCCCUCCUUUUGCGCAGACCCCAUUACAAUAAAUUUUAAAUAAAAACUUG
rnacentral:lncRNA from 1 species